rnacentral:rRNA from 1 species
AUUGAACGCUGGCGGCAUGCCUUACACAUGCAAGUCGAACGGUAACGCGGGGCAACCUGGCGACGAGUGGCGAACGGGUGAGUAAUGUAUCGGAACGUGCCCAGUAGUGGGGGAUAGCCCGGCGAAAGCCGGAUUAAUACCGCAUACGACCUACGGGUGAAAGCGGGGGAUCGCAAGACCUCGCGCUAUUGGAGCGGCCGAUAUCAGAUUAGGUAGUUGGUGGGGUAAAGGCCUACCAAGCCGACGAUCUGUAGCUGGUCUGAGAGGACGACCAGCCACACUGGGACUGAGACACGGCCCAGACUCCUACGGGAGGCAGCAGUGGGGAAUUUUGGACAAUGGGCGCAAGCCUGAUCCAGCCAUGCCGCGUGCGGGAAGAAGGCCUUCGGGUUGUAAACCGCUUUUGUCAGGGAAGAAAAGGUCUGAACUAAUACUUUGGGCUCAUGACGGUACUUGAAGAAUAAGCACCGGCUAACUACGUGCCAGCCGCCGCGGUAAUAC